rnacentral:rRNA from 1 species
AUUGAACGCUGGCGGAAUGCUUUACACAUGCAAGUCGAACGGCAGCACGGACUUCGGUCUGGUGGCGAGUGGCGAACGGGUGAGUAAUGUAUCGGAACGUGCCCAGUCGUGGGGGAUAACGUAGUGAAAAUUACGCUAAUACCGCAUACGAUCUAUGGAUGAAAGCGGGGGAUCGCAAGACCUCGCGCGAUUGGAGCGGCCGAUAUCAGAUUAGGUAGUUGGUGGGGUAAAGGCCCACCAAGCCAACGAUCUGUAGCUGGUCUGAGAGGACGACCAGCCACACGGGAACUGAGACAAGGUCCAGACUCCUACGGGAGGCAGCAGUGGGGAAUUUUGGACAAUGGGCGAAAGCCUGAUCCAGCCAUUCCGCGUGCAGGAUGAAGGCCCUCGGGUUGUAAACUGCUUUUGUACAGAACGAAAAGGUUUCUACUAAUACUAGGAGCUCAUGACGGUACUGUAAGAAUAAGCACCUGCUAACUACGUGCCAGCAGCCGCCGUAA